UCUGAUUGUCUCCAGAUGUACGUGUAUGCAACUGCUCGGGUGUUCUAUAUUCUGAUCUUUUGCCUAUCUUGAAAUGGCUCUUUUUAGAUCAAGGAUCAAGUGGAAUUGAUGUGCUCCCAUCUUAAUGAAUUAUUUGUCCCCUGUGUGGCACCUGUCAAGGCCAUGUCAAAUAUUUUUUAAAUUACUAGAAGCGUACAUGCGUGAUGCGGCGGUGUUCUGGUUGCGGCAGUGGUGACGGUGACGGGUAUGGUGGCGUGCAGCCAUGGCGAUGUACCGACGUCGGUGGCGAUUGGAGGUGGCGGCAGUGACAUCGGUGAUUGGUUCAAUUCAUACUCUUGGUGGUAACAAAGGCGAUUGGUGAUGACGGCGGCGAUGGUGAUAGACGACGAUUGGCUAGCUUCUUUUUUGCAAUCACUCGCAGCAAGACAAAAGUAGCAUAUCAUGGUAGAUCAUAUCCACUCAGAACUUGUGACAAAGACUUGGUGUGGCGGUUUCAGCAAAUCGGUACAAUUAUUCUUUGCUUUACCUUGUUUAAAAAAAUGCAUUGAGAAAGGGCAGACGUAUAAAACUUUUCAGACAGUGCUUACUACUUAUUCAACUCUCUCAAGAUGAAAUCUAUUCCAAUGGUUCCUUAUUUCGACGGCGUACAUAUAUAUAAACCUUUUAUUUUCUAGAUAUUUUUUUAGGCCUAUUGUCAAUACGAAGUAGCAGUUUUGGUAAACUAGAGGAGUUGAUAAAUAUUUAAACUAAACAGAGAAGGUAUCUUGGAGUUAAAUUCUUAAAAUGGGUUAAUGCUUUUAAUAAAGUACACGUAGUUAAAUUAGAGAUAAAAAAAAUAUAGAUAUAGCAAAUAUCGAUUAAAACAGUGUCUAGGUAAAACGUGCACAAAUGUGAUUUCCUUGGAAACUACACCCUUUGAGUUCAUAAUUCCAUAUAUAUAUUUUAGCUUAAUAAUGAGUAUUAUGUUUUAACGUUUGACUUGAUAUAUGAUAAAGUCGAAGAUUUAUAUAGAUUUAGGUUCUUGCCUUGGAUGCGUCUAAAUACAAAGAAAGUUGCUCGUUUAGUCGUUUAUGUGAUCUUCAAUGUCUUUUGAUUCGGUAAUUGUCCCUAUUUCUCAUAUGAUAAUUUAUUAUAUGAUGGAGAUAACUAACUUUAUUUCCUGAUCUUUUACUAUUACGAGUGCAUAUAUAUUCAUGAAAACUGAUUAAAAGCUACUUUGGUCUAUUUAAUUAAUUAAAAGCUACUUCUUGACUAUCUCUAUAUAUGCAAUAUUUUGAAGAAGAGUUAGUACUUUGAUCUUGUGAGGUUUAAAAGAGCAAGAUUGAGGGGAAAGGAUAGGAAGAAAAAAACAAGGAAAAGGAAGCCCUUUGACAUCGUUUUGUAAUUCUUAGUAAAGAUGGGAUAAUGCCACAGAAAGCUAAGAAGGUAAAGCAAAAUUAAAAGCUACUUUGGUCUAUUUAAGAACGGUUCCAGCUGGAAACAACUUUGCAACUCCGGUUGGGAUCAAUCCAACAUUUUCAGACACAAGCAACUACGUGGAAGAGUUAAGUUAAACAAUAACCUCCUGUUUAAUUAGCAUUUAUAUGCAUACAGCUUCUUAUGUAACUAAUUUCAGUCCUCAAAAGCUAUCAUCAAAGUCAGAAGCAAUCAGCAUGAAUUACGGAACUUCUUCCUAAGAACACUCAUGAAAUUUGAAACAAUUCACAUCAGAAGCUAAAAGAAGGCAUAAAUAGCGGAAUACCAACAUAUUUUGAAACAAAACACAACUGCUGGAGGAAAUAGAGUUUACUUUUGUAAUUGUUAACUUCUUGUGUUGUAAUUACAAGACUGUGAAUAGAGUACAAGGCUACACUUUAUAACUAUCAUCAAACAAAACUUAUAACUCAGUAAUGUGGUAAUUUGGGUAGAUUAAUCACUGACUAAAUAAAACUUAUGAUUUGGAAUCUAAAACGAAGUCGACUUACACCAUGUUCAUUCUUUGUUAAAAUGUUAAAAUCCAUAGCGAAGCGCAAUAGACCACCUAGCUAGUUAUAUAUAACAAAAUUUUCUGUCAGAAGUGUGACUUAGUGAAUUGACCAGUAGUUGCUAAAUU